rnacentral:lncRNA from 1 species
CAUUAUCAACCAAUUCCUAAUUACAUAUUAAUAUCCCAUAUUUAUCAACUAACAAUAAGUUGUGCAAAGAGACGGUAUGUAAGUCAAGACAACAUAAUUGAGACACUUAUUGCAAAUGAACCAACAAUUGGGGAUAUGCAGUUAAAUAAACUAAAUAACUGAGAAAGUAGUGGAAACUAGCAAUUUAACGUACACAAUAUAAUAAUAAAUAUUUUAUGUAGUAUAAGAGAAAAUAGACAGUAA